UAGGGAAUCUUCGGCAAUGGGGGGAACCCUGACCGAGCAACGCCGCGUGAGUGAAGAAGGUUUUCGGAUCGUAAAGCUCUGUUGUUAAGGAAGAACGAGUGUGAGAAUGGAAAGUUCAUGCUGUGACGGUACUUAACCAGAAAGGGACGGAUAACUACGUGCCAGCAGCCGCGGUAAUACGUAGGUCCCGAGCGUUGUCCGGAUUUAUUGGGCGUAAAGCGAGCGCAGGCGGUUAGAGAAGUCUGAAGUGAAAGGCAGUGGCUCAACCAUUGUAGGCUUUGGAAACUGUGUAACUUGAGUGCAGAAGGGGAGAGUGGAAUUCCAUGUGUAGCGGUGAAAUGCGUAGAUAUAUGGAGGAACACCGGUGGCGAAAGCGGCUCUCUGGUCUGUAACUGACGCUGAGGCUCGAAAGCGUGGGGAGCGAACAGG
rnacentral:rRNA from 1 species